UUUACGGAAUAAAUCACUCGAAACGUUAUUUGGUCGUCUUUAAAUUCAAAUUCGAGGCUCAAGCGCGAUCAGGGGUAGCCUUUAUAUAAAUAGAAUGCGCAAGAAUUGAUGGGUGCGAUCAUACCAGCACUAAUGCACCGGAUCCCAUCAGAACUCCGCAGUUAAGCGUGCUUGGGCGAGAGUAGUACUAGGAUGGGUGACCUCCUGGGAAGUCCUCGUGUUGCACCCCUCCAAUUUUAUAUCUCAUUAAAUUUCUUUCUAUUUUUCUAUAUCUCAUCAGUUAACUAAUUAGUUAUUUACGGAAUAAAUCACUCGAAACGUUAUUUGGUCGUAUUUAAAUUCAAAUUCGAGGCUUAAGCGCGAUCAGGGGUAGCCUUUAUAUAAAUAGAAUGCGCAAGAAUUUAUGGGUGAGAUCAUACCAGCACUAAUGCACCGGAUCCCAUCAGAACUCCGCAGUCAAGCGUGCUUGGGCGAGAGUAGUACUAUGAUGGGUGACCUCCUGGGAAGUCCUCGUGUUGCACCCCUCCAAUUUUAUAUCUCAUUAAAUUUUUUUUCUAUUUUUUUGUAUCUCAUCGUAUAACUAAUUAGUUAUUUACGGAAUAAAUCACUCGAAACGUUAUUUGGUUGUAUUUAAAUUCAAAUUCGACGCUUAAGCGCGAUCAGGGGUAGCCUUUAUAUAAAUACAAUGCGCAAGAAUUGACCGGUGCGAUCAUACCAGCACCAAUGCACCGG
rnacentral:lncRNA from 1 species